UAUUGGGCAAUGGGCGCAAGCCUGACCCAGCAACGCCGCGUGAAGGAAGAAGGCUUUCGGGUUGUAAACUUCUUUUGUCAGGGACGAAGCAAGUGACGGUACCUGACGAAUAAGCCACGGCUAACUACGUGCCAGCAGCCGCGGUGAUACGUAGGUGGCAAGCGUUAUCCGGAUUUACUGGGGGUAAAGGGCGUGUAGGCGGGGAAGCAAGUCAGAUGUGAAAACCACGGGCUCAACCUGUGGCCUGCAUUUGAAACUGUUGUUCUUGAGUGCUGGAGAGGCAAUCGGAAUUACGUGUGUAGCGGUGAAAUGCGUAGAUAUACGGAGGAACACCAGUGGCGAAGGCGGAGUGCUGGACAGUAACUGACGCUGAGGAGCGAAAGCGUGGGGAGCAAACAGG
rnacentral:rRNA from 1 species